ensembl:lncRNA
AGUAGCAGCAGUUGUCGUUGAUGUUAGAGAAGAAGUUAUUGUCCGGGUCUAUAUCGUGCUCCAAGUCCAGUAAAUUAUGAGGGUGGCAUGCCUCCACGCUGUUCCAGUCCAUGUCAAUCCCUUUGGACUGUAGGAAGGCAGCCACCUGUUGCUCCACAGAGCGGACAUCCUGCCCACCGGGCUCCCCCCCGUUGUCAACGGUCACCGCCCGGGCGUAUGACCAGGGUUUGAUAUUGAGCCCGGUCACAAUCACGUCAUUGACCCUGGUGUACUGCUCCAGCCCCGCCACUCGAUUCUCAAGGUGCACCAGACGCCGGUCCUUCUCGGCGUUCUGGAUCCGGAGAGCCUUCACUUCCUCCACCAAGUCCAGGAUGGAUUUCUGCUGCUUGCUUACAACUGAAAUCUCCUCGGACAAGAAGUCCAGAGACUUCUUGAUGUCCUCGCCCUCUUCGGCUGUCAGAGCCUUCUUCGGACCCAUGUUGCGUUUACUUCCGCACUGUCGUUCCUCUAUGAGCAGAACGAUAGCGUCCGAUGAGCAGAACGAUAGCGUCCGAGUUAUGUUAAGUCACAUAAUGGGUAUUCAGGAUGCGACAAGUGUGAUCAAGAGGGUGUGUGGAGGAACAAAAUGACGUAUCCUGAAACAGAUGUCAGGCUGAGGACUGACUCGAGUUAUUAUGAUAUGAUUGAUGAGGAACAUCACUUGAAACAGACACUCAGUCCUUUAACAGGGAUUGUAAAGAUGGUUUCUUCAUUCCCAAUAGAUUAUAUGCAUCUCUGUUGUCUUGGGUUGAUGAGAAAACUGUUGAAUAUGUGGUCAAAGGGCAAGCUAGCCACUAGGCUUCCUUCACAAACUGUUAACAGUAUAUCAAGCAAACUGCUGGUGUUACAUUCCCACACCCCUGUUGAAUUCAAUCGUAAGCCAAGAGGUUUGAAUGAGCUUGAUCGUUGGAAAGCUACUGAGCUCCGAUCCUUUAUGUUAUACUGGGGUCCUGUAGUUCUGAAGGGUUGCCUUCCCAGUGAGUUUUAUGACAAUUUUAUGUUAUUUUCAGUGGCAAUGUAUUUGUAUUUGUCACCGGGACUUUCUGACCAAAUGGUUGAAUUUGCACAUAGAUUGAUGAUUUCCUUUGUGAAACACUUUGGACAGCUGUAUGGUAGGGAUGAGAUUGUGUUCACUGUUCAUCAGCAUAUACAUUUAGUUGAUGAAUACAAACAAUUUGGACCUUUAGAUAAUGUUUCGGGAUUCCCUUUUGAGAAUUAUCUUGGCCAAAUUAAGCAUCUUUUACGCAAGCCACACAAACCUCUACAGCAGGUUGUCAAAAGGUUGUCAGAAAUGCCACAUGUUGAGCGUCCAUUAGCAACAGAUGAACCAGUCUUACAGAACAUCCAUACUGAUGGACCACUUCCUCGACAUUUCAAUGUUGCUCUACAGUACAGAAAGGUCUCCAGUAGUCGCUUUACCUUGUCUACAAAGCAGGGGGAUAAUUGUAUUGAGGUGGGAGAUACAAUUGCAGUAGUGCAGAAUAUAGUCCAAGAAGAAGAUGAGGUCUAUGUGAUAUACAGAAAGUUCAGACACCAAGAAUCAUAUUACACUUAUCCCUGUGAGUCCUCAUGCAUAGGUACAUAUAAGGUUCGAGAGUUGUGUGAUGAUAUCGGCGUUGGUAAACUUGGCUGUAUUAAACGUAAAUGUGUUCUGUAUCCAGAGUCAGAGGGAAAUAGCCUCAUAGCUAUUCCAAUAGCUCAUAUGCAGUAGCAUAGCAAGUUUAUGACUUCUUACGAUUCAUGAGUUGUUUUUUUUUAAUCAUUUAUAUUCUAAUUGAAUUUAUUGUACACAGAAUGGAAAGAGAGGUGGUGCUUUGGGCCGUUGUCCUAUUUCCAAAUGGCGGAACUGCAACAGUUCUUUCCAGCUGGUUCAAUGCAAAGGAAGGUACAUUGUUCUGGCCCCCAAAAAACAUAAAUUAUUCAAAGGCCCUUAAAGAAAACAUGAUGCCCCGUAAAGGAUGGACCACGUAUGAGAAUGUUCGGCUCUUAAAUACUUGUGACUCAUUUGAAAAGGCCAAGCAACAUGAAGAAAAGUAUGUCACUACUGGAUGUCCGACCACUGAUUUGGAAUCAGAGGUGGAAGCAGAUGUACGUCGGAAAAGAAGAACAAGAACAAAUACUGUGUAUGCGGAGUCAGAUGAGGAGCCAGAAACCAGAAGUGUUAAGAGAAAAUUUGCCAAGCCACCUGCUAUUCACUUUCCAGUGCUGCCAGUAUCCAACCAGUACCCCUCUCUACCAACCCCAGAUGCAAGCAGUGCCUCUGGAGGAAACUAUUCUGAGGAUGUUCAGUCAUUUGACCAGCCUAAUAAUGACUUUAGUGGAAACUUCUUGGCAGAGCUAGAGUCAACAGAUCUCUGUAAUGAUGACUUUCCUGGCAAUCACCAUCACCACCCCCAGGGCUAUACAGCUCCAGAAACACCACGGGGAAGAUUCACUGCAAGGGAACCCAGCCAAAUGUUGCAAGGCAAGUAUCAUUUUCUGAUCAACUUCUUAACCUUACUGAUGCCAUCUGAAUUGAGAAGCAUGUCCCUUGGGACAUCACUGUCUUUGUUAGGCUUAACAUUUAAGUGCUUAAUGGUUACUAUCAGUUAGGGGUGCAAACAUCAGUGAGUUGCUGAGUGUCAUUCUAAACAAUUGAAAAUGGUCAAUCUAUCCUUGAAAUGUAAUGUAAAACCAAUUGCUUUUCUUCUAAGACAUUGCUGCCAACCAAAAUACCAAGAUGCUAACGGAGAUACUCAUGGAGGUGAAGCAAAUGUCACGGGACAUUCAGUUCAUCAAGACUGAAAUUGCCAAAUCCGCCAUGAAUAUUCCCGGAGCGGGAUCACAGAGAGAGGAGCCCUUCCCCAUUGUUCUGCCACUCGCCAAUGAGGAGCAGUUUGAUGAGGCUGAAGCUGCACUGAGGGAGGAAUCAGUCCGUCGAAAGAUGAUUACCCGCUUGGCAUUAGUCGGAGGGACCAAUGCCGAAAAUAUGAUCCGGCGAAUGCUAUCCGCUACCAUGGCAAUCAGUGUAGCAUGUAUUUUCAACUGGGCGGGAAAUGGACCGAAGAGGGCCUUCAAGGACACGUUAAUGUAGGACUGCAUGUUUGCGGCUGCUCGUCAAUUUGACCGCAAGUUGACCGAAUUGCAGUACAGGGAUGCCCUGCAGAAGUGGCUGCGUUACGCACCGGAGAGGAGUGGCGGGGUACCAAGAAAAGCCAAAGAUUAAGGACUAUUAAGGACAAAUGUUACUGUAAUGUUCUAAUUAUAGGGUUACUUAUAGGGUUAAUGUUCAUAAUUCCUUAAAAUGUUAAGAUGUUUGUUUAUAAUUGCUUUUGAAUAUUUAUUAAAUAACUUUGAAUAAUGGUCUGUUUUGUUGUUGUUUUUUUGUUCAUAG